UACGUAGGGUGCAAGCGUUGUCCGGAAUUAUUGGGCGUAAAGAGCUCGUAGGCGGUCUGUUACGUCCGCUGUGAAAACCCAGGGCUUAACCCUGGGCUUGCAGUGGAUACGGGCAGACUAGAGGCAGGUAGGGGAGAAUGGAAUUCCCGGUGUAGCGGUGAAAUGCGCAGAUAUCGGGAGGAACACCGGUGGCGAAGGCGGUUCUCUGGGCCUGACCUGACGCUGAGGAGCGAAAGCGUGGGGAGCGAACAGG
rnacentral:rRNA from 1 species